rnacentral:rRNA from 1 species
CCUACGGGUGGCAGCAGUGAGGAAUAUUGGUCAAUGGACGAAAGUCUGAACCAGCCAUGCCGCGUGAAGGAUGAAGGCGUUUGCGUUGUAAACUUCUUUUAUCUGGGAAGCGGUACCAGAGGAAUAAGCACCGGCUAACUCCGUGCCAGCAGCCGCGGUAAUACGGAGGGUGCAAGCGUUAUCCGGAUUUACUGGGUUUAAAGGGUGUGUAGGCGGACUAUUAAGUCAGUGGUGAAAUCUCCGGGCUCAACCCGGAAACUGCCAUUGAUACUAUUAGUCUUGAAUGUUGUGGAGGUGGGCGGAACGGGUCAUGUAGCGGUGAAAUGCAUAGAUAUGACCCGGAACACCGAUUGCGAAGGCAGCCCGCUACGCAACAUUGACGCUGAGGCACGAAAGCGUGGGGAUCAAACAGGAUUAGAUACCCUUGUAGUC